GUCAUAUCAACAUAAAGCAAGUAGUCUGGUCAUGUUAUAGUUUGAAUAUUUACAUGAGCAUACAUAUUUCUCCAAAUUCUGACUAGAGAAUGGAGUGACUUCCAAAAAUAUUUGCAUAAUUUUAAUUUUCUCAUCUCAUUACUGAGUGUACACACUCAGUUUGAAACUGUAAAUUGUUGAAAGAAUGAGCAAAAGCAUCAUGAAAAUUGUUUAUUUUACAUGACAGAGUAGCUGUGCAUAAACUACGGGACAAUAUGUGAAUCUCUGUUAUUCUCUAUGCACAUUUGCUGGCAGAAUAACCCCACUCACUCCAGUGUCAUUUAGCAGGAAAUCUGGAUGCUCACGGUCCUCUAGCAGGAAAUCUGGAUGCUCACAGUGCUUUGACAGUCUCCAAGAGGUUUCAAAAUCAGCAACCAGAAACGCAUGGCACAGCUCAAAGUGCACCUACUUUGCAGUACAGAAAGGAAAUCAAACUUUGAAAAGCUUAAGGAAAUAUGAAGGAUCUGAAAUCAAACCAAGCUGAGACAGCAAAGUCACACUUGUGGCUAUAAUUCCUGGAUGUUUUUU
rnacentral:lncRNA from 1 species